GGCAGACGUCACUUCCUCUUGCUGGUUCAGGCAGCGGGUUGGUCGGCUGACUGGCAGAAAGGCAGAUGGGGCCUGGGAAAGGCACUGUCGGUGACAUCACGGAUAGGGCGACUUCUAUGUAGAUGAGGCAGCGCAGGAGCUGCUGCUUCCCCACCUGCUGCUUCGCCUCGAAGGAGUUCCCGAGCCUUGGGAGCGGGCUCAGGACCGCUGGUCCGGCCGGAGAGUCCCAGCUGGGAACGGCUCUCCCCGCGCCCAGGUGCCCUUGCUUAUGUUCACCGAGGCCUUCAGGUCAGAACCGCAGUCUGACUUGUCGGCAGAAUGUGUCGGCGAUCUACCCCAACUACCCAGCAAUAAAAUGGGACACAUUACAGAAACAUGAGAUAGCAUGGAUUACCUCAAAAACAUCAUGCCGAGUGAUGAAAAGAGGGCAUCCUGUGUGGCGCCAUCAAGGUGAAUUUCUAGAACAGAUAUAACACAAUACCAUGACUCCAGUGUUGCCCGAAUGUUAUGAGAAGUUAUUUUUGAACUUAAGAUCGGCCCUUUCUUCAAAUAAGAGCAGUUGGAACAACAAAAGCUGUUCAGUUGUACCCUUGGAAUCCACGGAAAUCCUGGGUAGGGAAGCUCCAGUACCACCAACUGGAAAGACUGGGAAUGCCUAGUAGCUGGUACUGGCCAUUGUCGUAGGCUUUGUCCACUUUGACAAACUGAAGACGGGGACUCGACUCACCUUCGCCAGCCACAGGAGGACCUCCAGACGAGGACCGGACUCGCCGCCUUUCUUUCCCGUCAGAAAGGGAUCCCUUGCGGACAAGACCGAAUGGCCCCUAAGGCUUCUCUGCAGGUCCAACCGAAACAGGCCUGAAGUUCCAGGAUGGGCGAGAGGAUCCUCUUUGAGCGAAACCAGCCUUCUGCCUGGCUGGCCCUGGUCAACACACUCGGAAGAGGCCGAUUUGGAGGACAGAACGGAAGAAAAGACCUAAAGAUGAUCCUCAUCCAAUCACUUAAAGGCCUGAAUAGAACCAAAAGUCUGACCUGCCCAUGAGUAAGAGAGAGCUCCUUCUGCCUGAUUGCUUCAGCUGAGAUAUCAGCCUUUUCCUGCCUUUGGAAUUGAACUGCAACACUGGCUCUUCCUGGGCCUCAAGCCUGCCAGCUUUUGAACUGUAAUCACACCAUCAUCUCUCCUGGUUCUCAGGCCUUUGGACUCAAAUCAGAAACACACCAUGGGCUCUCCUGUGUCUCAAGCUUGCCAACUGUGAUCUUGAGACUUCUCAGCCUCCAUAAUCACAUGAGUCAAUUGUUGGUUCUGUUUCUCUGGAGAACCCUAAUCCAUCACUUUACAUAUUUCUUCCAUUACACAUAUUGUUUCCCAGCAUAUUAAAUAAUUUACUGAUUAUA
ensembl:lncRNA LINC01138 long intergenic non-protein coding RNA 1138